rnacentral:rRNA from 1 species
CAGCAGCCGCGGUAAUACGUAGGGUGCGAGCGUUGUCCGGAUUUAUUGGGCGUAAAGCGAGCGCAGGCGGUUAGAUAAGUCUGAAGUUAAAGGCUGUGGCUUAACCAUAGUACGCUUUGGAAACUGUUUAACUUGAGUGCAAGAGGGGAGAGUGGAAUUCCAUGUGUAGCGGUGAAAUGCGUAGAUAUAUGGAGGAACACCGGUGGCGAAAGCGGCUCUCUGGCUUGUAACUGACGCUGAGGCUCGAAAGCGUGGGGAGCAAACAGGAUUAGAUACCCCGGUAGUCCCUGUCUCUUAUACC